AAACCACGCUCGUGGAACUGAAGCCUGCCUCGGUUUCCACACUCACGCUGCCAGCGGGGCUGCGUCGUCCUCACACCCGGCUGGGUCCGAGCUGUCGUCAGGCUGUCACGGAAGGCAGAGCGGGGACGAGAGGCAAACCUGUAGGCAGUACGCCCGCCACACAGACUCACCAGAGCAAAGAGCCUCACCAGCUCGGAUGACAGGAAAAGCUGUGUCUGACCAGAGAAAUGCAACAGCCCGUCCUUGGGAGCCGGUCCAAGCCGACUCCUGAGCUGGGGCCACACAUCCUUGCGCUUGGGGAAGCGUGGCUGGCAGAGGCCUCGGCCACGGCACGUGGUCCCCUCACAUCCUAUGUGGAUGGAGAACCGGCGGCCUUCGGCUUACCCGGGACCAGAGGUGGUGCCCGUCCGAGACAGCGGCGGCUCCCUCUGCAUCCUGCUCCCGGAGUGUGGUAUCCCCCACGGCCACAUGCCCUGGGAGCGUGUUCACAAUGCAACGUCUCAGGCCUCUUCCAGACCUGCCCACUCGGGAAACUACAACCUCCAGGUGAUUCCCAAGCACAGGAAGGUCGGAAGCUGAAUCACCGGGGCCCGACCCCCGAGCACAGCGAGUGGCUUUGAAAGAUCUGCAGGUGAUUGAACGCAGAACCCAGACCAAGUCACUCGGGUCGACCCCACGCUCUCCGGGACGCCCCCGUCAGAAGGUCACCGUGGACGUCAAGGCUCUGACACCAACUCUCUCUGAGAAGCAGGGUGACGCCAGCUGUGCCUGGAGGGGAUGCAGGACAGUGACCCCGGGGGCUGGAAGGGAGCGAGGCCUGCCCGCGUUCUCCCAACAGGAGGAGUGAGGACCCCCUGACCCUGAACUUAUGAGCUCUACCCCCCACCUCGUUCUUUGGGGACAGUGGGAGCCAUGGGGAAACCAGCAGAGCAGCGAACUCACAGCCUCCGUUUGAUGCCGAUCAUGCGCCAGCUCUGCUCUGCUCCUGACCCCCUGGCCCUGAAGAGCUGGUCUUGAAAGCGACGUUGCCGCAGGAGGCCCCAGCAUUGUGAUCGCCGGCUCCCUCCACGCCCUCCUUGGGAGCCUCCUGCGGAAACUGUCUUUAUCUUUUCCGAUGUGAGGUACUUUACAAAAAUACUCAGCAAAUAUUUCAGCAAAACGCAGGUCCCAAAAUAGGCACUCUACCCAGUGUAAGUCAUGGUCACCAGUGUUCCUCCAAAACGCCCAAAAUAGCGUCUGGGUGGCAGUUCUCCGAGCAGCGUCCUUGUUUAGCUAACCUAGUUAGAAGCUGUCAGCUUGUGCCUCGCGUCCUGUGAGCGUCUCGUGGCUCUUUCUCUCCAAACCCUUCUCAUCCCCUGGAGGGGCUUCCCCGUGUGCAGGGUUCCGGGGGGCGGGGGGGGGCUGCAACACGUUCAUGGAUGCCGGGAGAGCAGCAUGUGGGCCUGCUUGCACAGGGGCGUCACCGGGGGAGACCCUCCCAGCCCCUCUGAGACCUUUCUCUGGGGCUGCGUCUCUGUGGGAGGGCGGGCAGACUUGCUGCCCCAUUUCCUCCGAGGCCCCUCGUCUGGCUCUGACAUUUUGUCACCGCCUCUAGGCCCACAGGUAUGGAGGGAAGUUCGUGCGUUUGAAUCUGGUCCCAGCCAUGAUCCAGGAGACAAAGGGGCAGCUCUGCACCUGCUGUGGGGAGAGCACACCUGUACCGGAGGGAGGGGGCGUCCCCCGUCCCCGCGACACGCUGCAGGGCAUGAAGACAAUGGCAUGAACAUCUCUGGGUAACUGAGGCGGCAGCGCCCAGCUCGGCUGGAUUUGUCAGGACUUUCUGGCUCGGCAUGAAGAAGGCCCAUGUCCCGCAAACCCUCCCGGUCCCGGGCAAGGCAGAACCACUGGUCGUCCUGGGGGACAGCCCAAAGCCACUCCUAUGAUCUGGCAAAGGAGCCUCAGCUGAGAGUCGUGAUGGAAUUUGAGAAAAUCUAAAAUUAAAACAGAGAAGCGGACAGAGCGUACGUGUACAUGAGUCAGAGGGGAACAGCCAUUCACCGAACCCCCGUUUUAGGAAGAGACAGGGCAGAGCCAGGGCCGUUUCCAGGCCUGUGGAGCUAAGACGAGGGCCCCCCCCAAGUGCCGUCGGGUGCCUGCCAAGGGCUCUGGGGAGCUGAGGCCAGCCCCGGCCAGCCCAGCCAGGGGGAGCCGUGUGGGAGACGGAAGAGGGGCUGAGCCACAGUCAGGAGGGGACCCGCCUGCCGCCGGCCUGCCCCCUGUCCCACCCGGGCGCAGAACCCGUAGGAGGGGAGAGAGGCCCCGGGCAGCGACCAGCGGCCGCACACUCUUCGUGGCUCAAGGGAAAAGAAAACUUUCACGGCACAUUUCUCUUUAUUAUAAAAGGAUUACACUGAUAAUGAGGGAGUGUGGGAAGCCCAGCAGCAGAUAAAGAAGCAGCUUAAACCCUCACAGGGCAUCGCCGCCCUGAACACAGCACCUGCAGUGUCACCGGACGUUUCCUUCCUGCCAAAGCCGGGGUCUGCCGCCCAGUCCCAGCCCAGUUCUGUUUCGAAAAUCACUUUCCAAGAAUAAUCGAAAGCAGCUGAGAUCUUCCCAGGAGAACCUCAGAGUCAAAGGGAAUCCAGUUUGCCAUCUGCCCAAGCACUUCUUCCCGUCCCGUUCCCAGUCCCUGGUCACCUGCUGGCCUGCUCCUCCCUGUCCCCCCCACCCCCCAGCAGUCUGUCAGCCCCAACCCCAACCCCAAGGGGUCCCCGGGUCUCUCUUCCCCGUCUGACAGGCUCCGCUCCUUUCCCAGCAUUAAAUUAGGGGGACUUGCUUCACUCUGCGUUCAUCCUUUCUUGCCACCCAUUUGCCGGCCCUCCCAGGCUGUGCCGGGCUAGCAGACCCCCUCCCUCCCCGGGAGCUUGGGGGAGGGGAAGGCAGAAUGUUCCUUCCAGUUCAAGGGGAGGAAAAGUAAGAGUAUCAUGAAAUAUGCAAAUGCCUGUCAUGUAACAGCUUUUACAGAAAAAAAAAACCUAAAUAUUUUACAUACAUUUAUUUUAUCAAACUGCAGUUGUAUUACAGGUG